GACGUAGGGGGCCAGCGUUGUUCGGAAUUACUGGGUGUAAAGGGUUCGUAGGCGGUGUGGCAAGUUGGGAGUGAAGUCUCUGGGCUCAACCCAGAGGCUGCUUCCAAAACUGCUGUGCUUGAGUGUGGGAGAGGCGCGUGGAAUUGCGGGUGUAGCGGUGAAAUGCGUAGAUAUCUGCAGGAACACCCGUGGCGAAAGCGGCGCACUGGACCACAACUGACGCUGAGGAACGAAAGCUAGGGGAGCAAACAGG
rnacentral:rRNA from 1 species